GAGUGUUGCUCAGUGGUAGAGCACUGGCCUAGCAUGUGUAAGAUCCUGGGUUCCAUUCCCAGAACCACACA
rnacentral:tRNA from 1 species